rnacentral:rRNA from 1 species
ACUGCUCAGUAACACGUGGACAACCUGCCCUUAGGUUGGGUAUAAACCCGGGAAACUGGGUAUAAUACCCGAUAGGUCUCGAUUGCUGGAAUGCAUCGAGACUUAAAGCUCCGGCGCCUAAGGAUGGGUCUGCGGCCUAUCAGGUAGUAGUGGGUGUAGCGUACCUACUAGCCUACGACGGGUACGGGUUGUGAGAGCAAGAGCCCGGAGAUGGAUUCUGAGACACGAAUCCAGGCCCUACGGGGUGCAGCAGGCGCGAAAACUUUACAAUGCUGGCAACAGCGAUAAGGGAACCUCGAGUGCCAGGUUACAAAUCUGGCUGUCGAGAUGCCUAAAAAGCAUUUCAUAGCAAGGGCCGGGCAAGACCGGUGCCAGCCGCCGCGGUAACACCGGCGGCUCGAGUGGUAACCGUUAUUAUUGGGUCUAAAGGGUCUGUAGCCGGCCGGAUAAGUCUCUUGAGAAAUCUGGCAGCUUAACUGUCAGGCUUUCAGGAGAUACUGUCUGGCUCGAGGCCGGGAGAGGUGAGAGGUACUUCAGGGGUAGGGGUGAAAUCUUGUAAUCCUUGAAGGACCACCAGUGGCGAAGGCGUCUCACCAGAACGGACCUGACGGCAAGGGACGAAAGCUAGGGGCACGAACCGGAUUAGAUACCCGGGUAGUCCUAGCCGUAAACGAUACUCGCUAGGUGUCGGCCACGGUGCGACCGUUGUCGGUGCCGUAGGGAAGCCGUGAAGCGAGCCACCUGGGAAGUACGGCCGCAAGGCUGAAACUUAAAGGAAUUGGCGGGGGAGCAC